GAAAAUGACAUGGUGAAUCUGAA
rnacentral:siRNA from 1 species